UUUAUUGGAGAGUUUGAUCCUGGCUCAGGAUGAACGCUGGCGGCGUGCCUAAUACAUGCAAGUCGAGCGAAUGGAUUGAGAGCUUGCUCUCAAGAAGUUAGCGGCGGACGGGUGAGUAACACGUGGGUAACCUGCCCAUAAGACUGGGAUAACUCCGGGAAACCGGGGCUAAUACCGGAUAACAUUUUGAACUGCAUGGUUCGAAAUUGAAAGGCGGCUUCGGCUGUCACUUAUGGAUGGACCCGCGUCGCAUUAGCUAGUUGGUGAGGUAA
rnacentral:rRNA from 1 species